rnacentral:rRNA from 1 species
GAUGAACGCUGGCGGCGUGCCUAAUACAUGCAAGUCGAGCGAACGGACGAGAAGCUUGCUUCUCUGAUGUUAGCGGCGGACGGGUGAGUAACACGUGGAUAACCUACCUAUAAGACUGGGAUAACUUCGGGAAACCGGAGCUAAUACCGGAUAAUGUUUUGAACCGCAUGGUUCAAAAGUGAAAGACGGUCUUGCUGUCACUUAUAGAUGGAUCCGCGCUGCAUUAGCUAGUUGGUAAGGUAACGGCUUACCAAGGCAACGAUGCAUAGCCGACCUGAGAGGGUGAUCGGCCACACUGGAACUGAGACACGGUCCAGACUCCUACGGGAGGCAGCAGUAGGGAAUCUUCCGCAAUGGGCGAAAGCCUGACGGAGCAACGCCGCGUGAGUGAUGAAGGUCUUCGGAUCGUAAAACUCUGUUAUUAGGGAAGAACAUAUGUGUAAGUAACUGUGCACAUCUUGACGGUACCUAAUCAGAAAGCCACGGCUAACUACGUGCCAGCAGCCGCGGUAAUACGUAGGUGGCAAGCGUUAUCCGGAAUUAUUGGGCGUAAAGCGCGCGUAGGCGGUUUUUUAAGUCUGAUGUGAAAGCCCACGGCUCAACCGUGGAGGGUCAUUGGAAACUGGAAAACUUGAGUGCAGAAGAGGAAAGUGGAAUUCCAUGUGUAGCGGUGAAAUGCGCAGAGAUAUGGAGGAACACCAGUGGCGAAGGCGACUUUCUGGUCUGUAACUGACGCUGAUGUGCGAAAGCGUGGGGAUCAAACAGGAUUAGAUACCCUGGUAGUCCACGCCGUAAACGAUGAGUGCUAAGUGUUAGGGGGUUUCCGCCCCUUAGUGCUGCAGCUAACGCAUUAAGCACUCCGCCUGGGGAGUACGACCGCAAGGUUGAAACUCAAAGGAAUUGACGGGGACCCGCACAAGCGGUGGAGCAUGUGGUUUAAUUCGAAGCAACGCGAAGAACCUUACCAAAUCUUGACAUCCUUUGACAACUCUAGAGAUAGAGCCUUCCCCUUCGGGGGACAAAGUGACAGGUGGUGCAUGGUUGUCGUCAGCUCGUGUCGUGAGAUGUUGGGUUAAGUCCCGCAACGAGCGCAACCCUUAAGCUUAGUUGCCAUCAUUAAGUUGGGCACUCUAAGUUGACUGCCGGUGACAAACCGGAGGAAGGUGGGGAUGACGUCAAAUCAUCAUGCCCCUUAUGAUUUGGGCUACACACGUGCUACAAUGGACAAUACAAAGGGCAGCGAAACCGCGAGGUCAAGCAAAUCCCAUAAAGUUGUUCUCAGUUCGGAUUGUAGUCUGCAACUCGACUACAUGAAGCUGGAAUCGCUAGUAAUCGUAGAUCAGCAUGCUACGGUGAAUACGUUCCCGGGUCU